rnacentral:ncRNA from 1 species
CGGGGGACGACCCCCGCGGCACCGAUCCGGGCGGGACGACCCGC